rnacentral:rRNA from 1 species
UACAGAGGUCUCAAGCGUUGUUCGGAUUCAUUGGGCGUAAAGGGCGCGUAGGCGGUCGGACAAGUGGAAGGUGAAAUCCCCAGGCUCAACCUGGGAACUGCCCUCCAAACUGUUUGACUUGAGUCCGGGAGAGGUGAGUGGAAUUCCCAGUGUAGCGGUGAAAUGCGUAGAUAUUGGGAGGAACACCAGUGGCGAAGGCGGCUCACUGGACCGGAACUGACGCUGAGGCGCGAAAGCGUGGGGAGCAAACAGG